AUUGAACGCUGGCGGCAGGCCUAACACAUGCAAGUCGAGCGGAGCGGCGGACGGGUGAGUAAUGCCUAGGAAUCUGCCUGGUAGUGGGGGAUAACGUCCGGAAACGGGCGCUAAUACCGCAUACUAUUAGAUGAGCCUAGGUCGGAUUAGCUAGUUGGUGGGGUAAAGGCCUACCAAGGCGACGAUCCGUAACUGGUCUGAGAGGAUGAUCAGUCAAACGGGAACUGAGACACGUUCCAGACCCCUGCGAGAGGCAGCGGGGGGAAAUAUUGGACAAUGGGGGAAAGCCUGAUCCAGCCAUGCCGCGUGUGUGAAGAAGGUCUUGGGAUUGUAAAGCACUUUAAGUUGGGAGGCGUUACCAACAAAAUAAGCACCGGCUAACAACGUGCCAGAGCCGCGGUAAUAC
rnacentral:rRNA from 1 species